rnacentral:misc_RNA from 1 species
AUGGAAGCAAUCCCUUCACAGAGCCAUGUGAUCCGGGCAGCCUCUGGGAAGUACUUCUAUUUUAUUAUAUUUAAUGUCUUUCUUGGAGUGACUAUUGGAGGGACAUUGCUCAGCACGCUGAAGAAAAUUUUGAAUGAGCCGAAGCAAAUUGUGACUCUGUUGGGGGCAAAGCUUCCUGGAACUGCAACAUUCUUCAUUACAUUUGUUGCUCUCAGGUUCUUUGUAGGCUAUGGCCUCGAGCUGUUACGCCUCGUUCCUUUGA